AAUGAACGCUGGCGGCAGGCCUAACACAUGCAAGUCGAGCGAGCAUUUCGGUGCUAGUGGCGGACGGGUGAGUAACGCGUGGGAACGUGCCCUUUUCUGCGGAAUAGUCCUGGGAAACUGGGGGUAAUACCGCAUACGCCCUUUUGGGGAAAGAUUUAUCGGAGAAGGAUCGGCCCGCGUUGGAUUAGGUAGUUGGUGGGGUAAUGGCCCACCAAGCCGACGAUCCAUAGCUGGUUUGAGAGGAUGAUCAGCCACACUGGGACUGAGACACGGCCCAGACUCCUACGGGAGGCAGCAGUGGGGAAUCUUAGACAAUGGGGGCAACCCUGAUCUAGCCAGGCCGCGUGAGUGAUGAAGGCCUUAGGGUUGUAAAGCUCUUUAAGCUGGGAAGAUAAUGACGGUACCAGCAGAAGAAGCCCCGGCUAACUCCGUG
rnacentral:rRNA from 1 species